AGUUUUAAAUUUAAAUGAAUAUUAAAUUGCAAAUUUAAAGGAAUAAUAAAAUUAUUAAGACUU
rnacentral:tRNA from 1 species